UCCCAGUAUAGAUUUCCUAUCAGGUUGGGUAUUUUGCAAACAUGCACAAAUCAAUUGUCUUUGCAGUUUUGGCUUUCACGCUCAGCGUACUGCUAAUCGUGAUUGAUGCUAAGCAACUAAAGAAGGCAAAGGAUGAUCCAUGUGACAGGAGAAACCAUACCUGCUGGUACCCCGAGAUGUGCAAAACCUGCCCACCGAAAAUCCAGAAUGGUUACGUACGAGACUACACAUACUACUUCGACAAAGAUACUGAGACGUGCGUCAGUAUUGUUGGAAGCAGUGACAGUUGCAACAACUUUGACACUAUUGAAGACUGCGAGCACAAGUGCGGGAUAAGCUCAGAAGAUGAAGACUAGGAGCUCUGCUAGCUUGAGGCGGAUCUAGAAUUGGAAGAAAUAAGCGGGAUCUAUUCGUCACUGGCAAUACGCGUAUAUUCUAACUGAGCAAUAUUUACAGUGAAACAUUGUCCAAAAAUGCGGUGGUGGUAACUAUUAUCUGGAAAAUAUAUAGAAAUAAAAUCUUCGCAAUUGAAA